AAACCUAGGAUAGUCCCC
rnacentral:tRNA from 12 species